rnacentral:lncRNA from 10 species
GUCCUUCUCUGUGAGCUCAUCUUAGGGCAGAGCAGACUCAGAGAUGGGGAAGAGCCUCCAUUUACAUCCUGGCUGCUCCCAUUCCAUCACUUCCAUCACUCUGGAAUCUGUAGGGAAGCAGGCCAGUCCUCUGCCCUGAGGCUGAGGCAGGGGCGGUCCGGGCAGAACAGUUGCCAAGUUUCCGCCUCUGCAAGGCACACCAUGGUGAACAAAAAUGCCAAAUCCUCCUCCAGAUCCCCAGAAAGAGCCAGCUCUCCUGUUUGUCUCUCGUGGACUGCUGUGACCUGUGACCAGAUUCUUUAUGAGCAGGCUCAAAGCCAUUCUUCAAUCACGAGGAAUGAAUGACCUCCAGCCCACGGUUGAAAUUUCUGACAGGAUGGAGUCAUUUUAUGGUUUCCUUCUGGGCCUGUCCUGGCAAGUGGGAGGCACAAGACACUUGGAGGCAGCUUUUAACAACUCAGACCAGAUGAGUGAGCACAUUCUCACACAUGUCCCAUAUUUCCCAAGUCAGUAACCAGCCCCUUGCAGAAGGCUGGUGAUGCUUUACACCUUGGGGUCCUUCAGAGAAAUGGGUUUGUCGUACAGCGUAUCCUUUUCAACAUGGAUAAGCAUUUUAUUGUGCAUUAAUUCUAAUGUAACGUUAAUUGGAAAUAAUCCUUCUGGUGAGAAGAGCAUAAUUCUGCUGGCUUCUGGAGACUGGAAGAAGCUUUAGGACCCUCAAGGAGGAAGCCCUGUGGGAGGAGGAAGUGGCCAUCAUGAGCUUCAGCGAAGACGGCUCUGCAGGUUGCAUUGAACUUGCGGACAAGUCUCCACCCGACUACCCCAACCUGGCAAUUAUGAUCUGCUUAUCAGGGGAGCAGUGACUUGACAGUCUGUCUCAGUUUACUUGUCUAUAAAAUGGUUAUGAAUAAUCAUAUUGGCCUCAUAGGGUUAUAGUGAGAAUUAUAGCCACUGGCAGAGAGCACCCAGCCAGCCCCAUUCCUGGAGAAAAGCAGAAGUUUAGUUCUUGGAAAAGUUGCAUAUAGAUUCUUAAAGAAAUGAUGUCACAGGGACUUCCUUGCUAUCCCUAAAAACCAGGGACCUGUUUUUAAGUCAGUGACCCAGCCUGCUACAGUGGAAUCCCAGUUUUAGGAUAAUGUGAGGUCAGCUUUCCUCACUCCAUUGCAUGCCAGGGCCCACCCUUGGGUUUUAGGCUUGAAAAAGUUAUAGUUACCAAUAUCCUCCUUCAGUGACUUUCCAUGGCUUGGAGAAGACAGUCCAGAUCCCCAUCCUGCAGCAUAAGGGCCCUGUGUGACCUGCCACCACUCAGUCAUCUGCAGAAGGCUGGUGCCUGUGCACUCUAUGUUCUGCUGAUCGAGGUGCCCUCACCUUUCCCAACACAUCAUGUGGGGACACGCCCUAUCUGUGUGCACAGGGAAUGCUGUGGAAUGUAUGUAGAGCACCCUCCCUCAUCUCCUUGGAAUGCUUCUAUCAUCUCUCAAGAUGCAAUUCACCUUGUCUGGGAAACCCUUUUGAAUCCCGCAGCAGUUAUCUGCUCACUCCUCUGACCUGUGCACACACCUCUGAGAUUGUACCAUGCACUGUGUGGGAGCAGUCUUCUCCUAGCAUUCUUCUCUAAUAGGGAACUCUGCCUUCCCACCUUCUAUACCUGGCACACGGACAGUGCUAUAAAUGUUGGUUGAAUAUAGAAAUUGGUAGGAGGAGAUCUGGAGUCAGGGCUCAGUGCUCCUGGGGAUGGCUCAACUCCUGUUCUCAGGCAGAAUGAAAUCCCUAGCAAACUGCAGAGCAACCAAGGAGAAAACCUAUCUCAGAAGUUAGCGCCCCCAACACACUGAAGUCUUGGAUCAAGCAUUUACCCACCUGCUAGAGAUCAGUGGCUCUGGAGGAAGCAGCACGUAGACCUUUGUUCCUGGGCAACACUAACCCGCGGCAUACCUGAGGAAAUGUGAACCUGUUAUCUGCUAGUUUUUGAGAUCCCCUUUACCUCCACCUGGUGGGGAACGAGGCAUCCCCUGCUGUCUGUUUUUUGCCCUCUUGAUACCUGGAUUCUUCUACCAGAAUUAAAUGUCUAGGAUUUCAGUAGAGACUUUUCAAGGGGCUGAGACCUUCUGAGCCUGAAGAGUGUUAUUCCUCUCUCUUGCUCUCAGCAGCUUGAUUUGUAGGUCAGUCUACCAUUUACUCUCCCACAAGGACUGGGGUAUAUUGUAUUAUUGUCCUUGUUCUUCACCCUCUAUGGCCUUCGCCAUGUGACUUUGAUGUACUUCCCACUUGAAUUGGGGCAUAUUUCCCAUACUUCUUGCCAUUGGGUGUAGUUAUAUGACUUGCUUGGGACAAUAGAAUGAGGUAUUUCUACUCUCCUCCCUGAACCUUUGCCAUGGCCAUGAGAACAUGCCAGCCUAGCUGCUGAUCCCAGGAGAAAGGUGAGAGACAUGUUGGGCAGAGCCAAGCCCCUAGACAGCCCAGCCUAGAUUAGCUGACUCUCAGUUAGCAGAGACCCUUGAGAAAUAACUGAUGACUGUUGUUAUAAGCCUUUGGAGUGGUUUGUUACAUGGCAUCAUUGAAGUGAUAGUUAACCAACUAAUAUUUAAAGAAAUUUUGGUCAUAAUAAUCUGAUGCCCAGUACACUGCCCUGUCCCCUUGGCAUGGGAAGCUCAUACCAAGAACAUCAACUUUGGCACACACACACAGCCCCCUCCCUAUGACAAAAUUGGAUAGCACAUGCUCCAGGGUUGUCUUCGUAAAAGACGUGUGUCCCUGUGAGAUGGAGUAACACUGACAACAGGAACUGAAGUGUUUCCAUCAACUUCUAAUUUCCAUUUCCCCUCCUCCCGCUCUCUCCCCUCUACAAGAGUCUAUAGUCUCCUGGUGAUGAACAACAACAACAACAUUCCUCAAAGAAACCUUUGUUUAACUCUCAACACAUCUGUUCUUCAUUUAUAGGAAUAAUGGCUAACAACAUUAGAGAGUUUACAUCUAUGUCCAGUACUGUGCACUUUUAUAAAUGAUUGUUCAUUAUUUGUAGAAUCCCUGUAAUGCUGGUGCUAAGUAAAGGUGACACUUUAAGUUCACCACAAUGUCUGCUCUGAGAGCAGAAAAUAAUGUCUUCAAGGCCACAUGUAGAUCCUUCAUCCGCAGUGCACUUACCCUGGUGUGGUGCUUUCUUUAAGAAACACUCUGAUUGGCCAAAGAAAUGCACAGUCCACAGUUCAGCUCUAGGAGCUUUGUAGUAUGGAUGGAGUGCAGGGUGAUAGUCCUCCACUUCUUUUCUGUAACCAAAAGAACAGGAUUUUUCUAAGUAGAUAUUUGGCAUAGAUGAUGGCAUCUUUUUUUCUACAAACAGAUUUUUACAACUUUUUCUCUUGUCUAGUUUUCAAAAGUAUUUGUAUACUCAUUCUUGAUUAAAAGUAAACUCUCAGAAAAUUAGGAAUAGAGGGGAACUUUCUCAACCCAAUAAAGAAUAUCUACCAAAACACUUCGUUGACAUUGUAUUUAAUGGUGAGACCCUAGAAUCUUUUCCAGUAAAAUAAGGAAGAAAGCAAGGAUGCUCCCUCUAACCACUCCUCUUCAGCAUCACACUGAAAUUCUUAGCUAAUGCAAUAAAACAAGCAAUAAAAGUGUACUGAUGAGGAAGGAAGAAAUAAAAUUGUCUUUGUUUUCAGAUGACGUAAUUGUCUAUUUAGAAAAUUCUCCCCCAAACAAAACAAAAAAAUUCUGGAUACUAAUACAUGAUUACACCAAGGUUGCAGGAUACAAGGCUGAUGUGUAAAAGUAAAUUGCAUUUUUUUUUUAACAAUAAGAAAGUUUAUUAAAAUCAGGUGAGUUCCAACAAAGGGUGGCUCUGGCUUACAUAGUACAUCAGUUCCAUGAUGGCUUCUUAUACUGAGGUUUUG